rnacentral:rRNA from 1 species
GACGAACGCUGGCGGCGUGCCUAAUACAUGCAAUAGAACGCACAGUUUAUACCGUAGCUUGCUACACCAUAGACUGUGAGUUGCGAACGGGUGAGUAACGCGUAGGUAACCUGCCUGGUAGCGGGGGAUAACUAUUGGAAACGAUAGCUAAUACCGCAUAAUAUUAAUUAUUGCAUGAUAAUUAAUUGAAAGGUGCAAUUGCACCACUACCAGAUGGACCUGCGUUGUAUUAGCUAGUAGGUGAGGUAACGGCUCACCUAGGCGACGAUACAUAGCCGACCUGAGAGGGUGAUCGGCCACACUGGGAAUGAGACACGGCCCAGACUCCUACGGGAGGCAGCAGUAGGGAAUCUUCGGCAAUGGACGAAAGUCUGACCGAGCAACGCCGCGUGAGUGAAGAAGGGUUUCGGAUCGUAAAGCUCUGUUGUAAGAGAAGAACGGGUGUGAGAGUGGAAAGUUCACACUGUGACGGUAUCUUACCAGAAAGGGACGGCUAACUACGUG